rnacentral:rRNA from 1 species
UGAACGCUGGCGGCGUGCCUAACACAUGCAAGUUGAGCGGUAAGGCCCCUUCGGGGGUACACGAGCAGCGAACGGGUGAGUAUCGCGUGGGUAAUCUACCUAGAGGUGGGGGAUAGCCUCGGGAAACCGAGGGUAAUACCGCAUGAGUCCUCAACGACAUAAGUCGAUGAGGGGAAAGGCGGGGCUCCUUCGGGACCUGUCGCCUCUGGAUGAGCCCGCGUCCGAUUAGCUAGUUGGUGGGGUAAUGGCCUACCAAGGCAACGAUCGGUAGCCGGCCUGAGAGGGUGAACGGCCACAUUGGGACUGAGACACGGCCCAGACUCCUACGGGAGGCAGCAGUGGGGAAUUUUGGGCAAUGGGGGAAACCCUGACCCAGCGACGCCGCGUGGAGGAUGACGGCCUUCGGGUUGUAAACUCCUGUCAGGUGGGAAGAAAAGCCAGUCGGAUAAUACCCGGCAGGAAUUGACGGUACCACCAAAGGAAGCCCCGGCUAACUCC